GAUGAACGCUGGCGGCGUGCCUAAUACAUGCAAGUCGAGCGAACAGACGAGGAGCUUGCUUCUCUGACGUUAGCGGCGGACGGGUGAGUAACACGUGGAUAACCUACCUAUAAGACUGGGAUAACUUCGGGAAACCGGAGCUAAUACCGGAUAAUAUAUUGAACCGCAUGGUUCAAUAGUGAAAGACGGUUUUGCUGUCACUUAUAGAUGGAUCCGCGCUGCAUUAGCUAGUUGGUAAGGUAACGGCUUACCAAGGCAACGAUGCGUAGCCGACCUGAGAGGGUGAUCGGCCACACUGGAACUGAGACACGGUCCAGACUCCUACGGGAGGCAGCAGUAGGGAAUCUUCCGCAAUGGGCGAAAGCCUGACGGAGCAACGCCGCGUGAGUGAUGAAGGUCUUCGGAUCGUAAAACUCUGUUAUUAGGGAAGAACAAAUGUGUAAGUAACUGUGCACGUCUUGACGGUACCUAAUCAGAAAGCCACGGCUAACUACGUG
rnacentral:rRNA from 1 species